rnacentral:rRNA from 1 species
UACAGAGGGUGCAAGCGUUGUUCGGAAUUAUUGGGCGUAAAGCGCGUGUAGGCGGCUUUGCAAGUCGGGUGUGAAAGCCCUCAGCUCAACUGAGGAAGUGCGCCCGAAACUGCAGAGCUUGAGUGCCGGAGAGGGUGGCGGAAUUCCCCAAAGUAGAGGUGAAAUUCGUAGAUAUGGGGAGGAACACCGGUGGCGAAGGCGGCCACCUGGACGGUAACUGACGCUGAGACGCGAAAGCGUGGGGAGCAAACAGG